UACAGAGGGUGCAAGCGUUGUUCGGCAUUAUUGGGCGUACAGCGCGUGUAGGCGGCUUUGCAAGUCGGGUGUGAAAGCCCUCAGCUCAACUGAGGAAGUGCGCCCGAAACUGCAGAGCUUGAGUGCCGGAGAGGGUGGCGGAAUUCCCCAAGUAGAGGUGAAAUUCGUAGAUAUGGGGAGGAACACCGGUGGCGAAGGCGGCCACCUGGACGGUAACUGACGCUGAGACGCGAAAGCGUGGGGAGCAAACAGG
rnacentral:rRNA from 1 species